rnacentral:miRNA from 10 species
AUUAGGUUUGUGAAAACAUAAUUAUAGGUUUUGUCAUAUUAAAAGUAACAGCAAAACUCGCAAUUACAUUUGCACCAACCUAAUAGA